UAUGAUGUAGUCCUUAUAUAGGUUGAACACCGAUUAUUGGGACGACCAUGGCAAUAUGCCAUGGAUGUUAACCAUGAUGGUGGAAAGAACCAAAACACUUUACAUCUAAAUGGUCUCACCCAUUUUCUUACACCGCUAUCAAGAAGAGAGGUAUACGAAAACCAACUUAAGAUCAAGAAAGCGUAUGAUGAGUUUGUUGGUAG
rnacentral:lncRNA from 1 species